CCUACGGGAGGCAGCAGUGAGGAAUAUUGGUCAAUGGACGCAAGCCUGAACCAGCCAUGCCGCGUGCAGGAUGACGGCUCUAUGAGUUGUAAACUGCUUUUCUACGAGGGUAAACCGCGAAACGUGUAUCUGGUUGUAUGUAUCGUAUGAAUAAGGAUCGGCUAACUCCGUGCCAGCAGCCGCGGUAAUACGGAGGAUGCGAGCGUUAUCCGGAUUUAUUGGGUUUAAAGGGUGCGUAGGUGGUUUGAUAAGUUAGAGGUGAAAGGUUGUGGCUCAACCCUGAAACUGCCGCUAAUACUGUUGGACUAGAGAAUAGUUGCGGUAGGCGGAAUGCAUGGUGUAGCGGUGAAAUG
rnacentral:rRNA from 1 species